GGAGAAGCGGGGAGGAGAAAACAGCAGCGGCGUUCCUGGGGCGGGACCUGCGGCGGCAGCCGGCCGGGCGCUUGGGCGACUGCUCCGACGACCUUUACGCGAGAGACGGGCUGCAGCCUCAAGGACCUGUUGCAACAGGAUCGCUUCGCCAACAAGGACAUCUGUUUCUGAAGUUGCAAAAUUUGGAGGCCACAUCUCCCUGGUUCCUGGGCCGCUGUGCUGCUGUCCUGCCAGGUCCAACUUGGGAUGGCCAAAGCCUCCUCCACCUGCCCAGCACCUCUUAGUGCCGGAGCACGGCUGUCCCAUGGCAGCAGGCACCAGCAUGCUGUUGCCCCUUUGCUGAACAGAUUUUUUGCUGUUAUCAUUUGGACUUUCCAGGUCUGUUCCCCAUUUGGAACAGAAGCCAAAGGCACAGAAAAAUGUUUUCUUGGAUUUUUUCUCUACACUUAAAAAAUCCAUGCAAAGUCUAUUUUCAUGCAUAAGUGCUGUAAGUAAUUUUGACAGAAGCAACUUCCUGCAAAUUCUCAAGAAGAGGAUCUCUCCCCUGCCAAAAAGGCUUUCUUUUUUUGGUCUUUGUAUUGUGAGAAACUCACACAAACCACAUUGCUUCUGUCUCCUCUUUGUACCGCAGACACCCCGGGCCAUAGGCCUGUUAAAACUGAACCUGUAACUCUUCCUUUUUCCUGUAAUCCCUGUGCCACACAAAGGACCUCAUCACUUCAGCUACCAGACAAAAGGAGUGCUUUUAUUCACUGCCUUUAUAGCUCUCCAGUGGCUCUCUUGCACCAGCAUCCUUAGCUCUCAAAACAGUCAACCCCAUCCUGAGUGUUUAAUUAUCAGUUAUCUCCAGUGCACAAGCUAUUACUAAUUUUGCCAUGUCAAUAACCUCCUGAAAAUCUUACUUUUUUCAGCAAUUGAUAGGAAAGAGAGGUGUUCAUCACAGAAUGUACUGGCAUAACUAUUUAAUUUACUGGCAUGUUCUUCUUCUUUACUUUUGUGUCUUAGAUUGAAGUGUUACACUAGUACAGCCUCAUACAAUAAGUCCGUUCCACUAACAGUAAAGUGCCUUGUUUUGACAUAGCUCAUUCUCCUUCCUCAAACAAAUUAGCAUUACCUUGUGCAUAUUGCAUUUUAUAUUGAUAUAUGUAUAUCCACAAUGGGAAAGCUCUAUGAAUUAACUUUACCACUUCUGGCUAUUGGCAAGACCCAAGUCUGCAUAAAAAUAAAUGCUAUUUUCAGUAGUAGUCUUGACAUGUGAACACAAAUGCAAUAUUCUUUUGAAAACAAAACGUACAAUAGAAUAUAAACACCUAUGUCUGUAUGCAGUUCCUUGUUUCUCUGCAUAUAUAUUCAACUAUAACACAUAUUUCAUAUAUAUAACUACAUAUUAAUCAAAUUCAGGUGAAUAUAUAAAAUAACCUAUUUAUCAAAAAGUUUAUAGUUUUCACAUUUUCAUAUCAACCUAUAUGUAAACCAUUAGGUUCCAGAAGUACCCAUUAGAUAAAUAACUUAUAUAAGUAAUGUAAUUGUUGACACACCUAACACCUGCCAAUGUUACCUGUUGAAUAAAAGCAAGUAUUCUGACUCAGAAAGAAAGAUUCAAAAUAAUAUAUCUAAAAGCUGCAGUUCUUGAUCAGAGUUGAGGCUGUUUAUUAAGUGAAUCCUAUGAUUUUUUUUUUAAUCCAGUACUGAGGAGUCUUUCUCUUAGUAAUAAUCUGUUCAUAUCCCUUUGCUGAGCCCUGCAUGAAUACAAAUUUCAGCAGCAUCCGGUAAUAACAUGGAAAAAAAAUCUACAUUGCUGAAGAUUACUUUGACUGAUGUUACUGAAGGUUACUCAUAGCCCUGCUUCCACCUCUGCUUUACUCUGGUCUGAUCACUGAGCAGGACUGUUUGUAAGAAAUUGUUUCCGUGUCUGCAAGCAAAAGCUUUCAGAAUAUAUUUUCCUGCAAAUAACCGAUGUGUACUAGCUAGAGUAAAAAUGUGUACCCGUAUGAUUUGUUUAUUGUGGUUCAGCCCCCAUUUCCCCAUGAUUUGUUGCAUACACACUGUUGUACAUUGAUUCACACCAUGUGCUGGGAAGGUAUUCUUCCAGACAAUGCUCCAGGGUCACUGUCUCGUGUGACACAUAUAGGAACCUAGUGGGAUUCCACAGUUUGGGGUGAAACCAAGCUAUUUUCAGGACUCCUCUGGUGUUAAGUCACUGCCAUUUCAAAUGACUGCCAAGCUGUAUGGAGGAAACAUGUCAGAGAUCAAAAGUGGAGUGUCCUGAGAAGGAAUUAGAAAGAGACACAGUGGUGGUGUACUGGCAGAAAAGGAGGAGGUGGAGAUGGAGUAAUUCCCCUGACUAGUUGGGAUGAAGAGUAAUUACUCUGGGAUUUAAGGAUGGUAAAGUUUGCAAAGCAUCUGUAUGGACUGCAGUAGGAAUACUCAUCAACAAAAAGCCAAUACAGCAGCACCUCUGCCUGUGGACAUGUGUAACUAUUAGUGCCUCAGUGCUUGCCAGCAAUCCAUUUGGCUCACUGCUCACUGGAUUGAUGCUGGUCCACCAGUGUCUGCUGGAUAUACAUAUUACGUGUGUGUUUCAGUGGGCUGGUACUGAGAAAAUACUCCAAGAUUUGGAAAAUUCGUGAUCCUGAGUUGUGCUGGAAGCAGUGGCUGGAUGUAUGUGCCUGUAUUUCAGACUGAAAGUCAUGUUUCAUAAGUGGAAGAAAAAGAUAUUUUUUCAAGCUUCUGCAAAGCCUCAUUGAUCACUAUGGAAAGUUCAUAGAUGUCAAUGCAGAAUGAUAUACAAUAGUGGAUGACAGUUUUUUUAGAAAUUUAGCCUUAUUUACUGCAACAAAAAUAAAAAUUGCUCCCCAGACUGCAAUAGAUGUUAAUGAUGUGUCCAUUCCUUUUGUCACUCAGGGAGAUCCAGACAUCUUUCUGCUUCUCUGGCUAAUGACGCCUUUUAACGGGCAAAUGUGUUGGAGAAAGGAACUGUAUGACUGUUCUGAGUAACUGUUGAAUUAACUGUAGAAUAACAAUGAAGGGCUUUGUUGGGAAAUUGAAGGGCAGGUGGAGGAGCCUUACAAACACUCUGAUCAAUAUUUGCUGC